AAUAGGAUCACUCAAGAACUUUUAGUGAUAUGAUAAUUGCUCCAUGUUAAAUAGCAUUUGACGCUAUUGGAGCUAAUGGAUUAUAAAAUAUAAUCUUCUUUUUAUUACCCUGAUGUGACAUUGUUUGGAUAACUGAUUCUCAAAGUCUUUGAAUUAUAUGUCGUUAUUUGAUUUUUAAAAAAGGCUUUGAAAUUACUACUUUAACAUCAAUCGGUAUCUCCCUCUAAUUCAUACAUACUUGGUGAAAACUUCACUUUGGACUCUUACCACAAUUUCUGCGGGUGAUUGAAUAAUAGAUGACCGAAAUCGUGCAGAAGUAAAAUUGCAGUUUAUGCUGAAGAAACUUU